rnacentral:lncRNA from 1 species
AUUGCUUCUCUAAUUACAGGUCUUCUCCAUGUUUGUCUUCUUGCUCAAAAGUGUAGUUGCAGGUGCAAAUCUGCUUUUCUUUUGGAUUCUCCUCAUCAUUGUCAGUUUCAACAGACAGUGAUUUCCCCCACAUCUUCUUCCCUUUUUUCUUCACAUUUUUCUCCUUUGUAUUAUUUUGGCUAAUUUUGAAGUUCAAUGGUUGUUGCAGAUUCUCUUUUCCUGUUCCUUCUCUGAUUUUUCCAGAUCCCUUUUCCCU